CCCGCUGAGUCUAAGCAUAUCAAUAAGCGGAGGAAAGGGCGAA
rnacentral:rRNA from 1 species